ensembl:lncRNA
CAGAUGAAUACGCAUCUGUCAUCCUCCCAUUCCUCUCUGCCACGAAAAAUAUGAAUUUAAUUUAAUUGGAACUGAAAUUGAAACCAAGACUUUCACGCAAUCACAAACCCUUAGAAAAAGCUGCCAGAACUGCUCCCACUGUGCAAACUACAGAAGCCUCAGAUGAAGUGAAAGUCAUCCCUUAAUCAGCUGCCUUAUACAACUUUCAGCCACCUGUGCUACAGAUCUGGGAAGGAGCUUCUGAGCCUACAAGUGACAGUCACGCAUUCUGAACACGAGCCAUGAGCUCUUGGUCAUGCUUCCAGAUCCAAGGGGCACUCCAGCAGUUACCAGUACAGCAUACCAAACUGCCCUGAAGUAGGUCCUUUGUCCCUUCCCACUCAGCAUCAGUUGCUUGCGUCUUUUGGAAGAUGCUGCCUGGGGCCCAGCAGAGCUGGAGGUGAUGGAAGCUUAAAGCAGAGGGCCAUAGGGUUUGUGCCAUCUUUCACCAGGUUCUAUAUGACAGACAUUUCAGUUCUUUCACCCUGUACUGAAUUAAGGUGCGGCUAAGGACUUUGGUCAUGAGAUGUGGCAUUGUUCCAACCUGAAAGACGGGGGGAAGGAAGGAGGGAGAAAGGUUACUCCCAGCUGUCCACUGCUGCACUCUUUGCUCCUUUGUUUCUGGUGAUCACUGCUGCAGUAAAAAUUGUUAGUAGCUGCAUGAGGAAAGCUAGCUGAGCUGGGGCAUCUCUGCUCUUUAACUAAGAAUUUCAUCCAGCGUCAGUAAUUUUCCCUUUGAGCCCUCUUGCUAAAUGUCCUUGGUGGCGGAUGAAUCCUGAGCAUUUAAGGAUGGGAACCGAGCUGUUGAAAGGAACAAGUUGUCUCAUACCCAACCUCUUGGAGAUACCAAACCAAACUUGCAAAAAUGUACUGAUGAAGAACUAAAUAGUAUUGGCUGGAGAUAAAGAAAUCCCAGACUUUCC